GGGCUGGACAAGAGAAGCCGAACCGAGGAAAUCCGACCGGUUCGAAGCUAAUUUUCCUGUUCGGGUCGGGCCACGUCGGAUUAUCGGGUGUAACGGGUGAAUGGUUUGGAUAUUAAUGGGCUACUUCGGUUCGGAUCGGUUGGAAAGAUUAGGCCCAUCGGUGACCGAAUCCGACCGAACCAGUUACUACUUUACUAUUUAUUAACAUUAUUAGGGUUUCUUGUUCAUUUUUCUUCUUCUUCAAAACAGCGCCGCCCCCCUCACAGCUCUCAUCUGUUCAACUUCAUCUUAGAGGAAUAGAACCUCCACCAUGUUUUCAUCACCAUAUUCAUCUCUCCUUCUCAAUCUCUUCUCCAAAUAUCAUCCUUACAUACAUAUUAGUUUUGAAACCCAAACCCUAACCCCCAAAUUCAGAAAAGAUCACAAUAAAUAUUUGUUGUGAGAGAUUGGAUACUACGCUCUUUCGGAACACUUGAAGAACAUCUUCCUACUAUUUGUCUAAAAGCUAUGUCUUUUAUGCAGGUGUUUAUACCUCAUUUUUGUGUUGAAUCAGAGCCUUCUUACUAUAGAGGAGGUUAGAUUCAAUAUUUUCAGCUCUGAGGCAGAUAAGAGGGAUAUCACUGAAUGAAGCAAGCUCUAUAUCUCAUUAGAUUCUCAGAUUUGGUAAGAGUGAAAGCAUAGCAGAGAGGUGAAUGCUAUUUUAAGGAUGUUGGUGGUAAUGUCUUGUUAAAAGAGAGUCCUUGAUGAUGGACAUAAUAUAAAGGUGAUGAAGAUGAAAUAAAUAAGGAAGAGAUUAUGGAGUUCAAGCAAGACAACUUAUGUUUGCUGUGUUGAUCAAAAUUAUGAAAAUAAGUGGCACAAGAACAAAUAACCUUUGUUAAUUCUGGCAACGAAAGUAUUGCAAGAAUAAGUUGGAGGAAGUGUGGACAAUUGCAUGAAUUAGUUGGAAAAAAUAUGGACAAUUGCAUGAAUUAGUUGGAAAAAAUAUGGACAAAACACUAUCUCACAAUAGGACUGAUUUCAAUUUUGAAUAAGUUGUAAUAAUAUUAUAGAUUUGAAUAUCACUAAAUAUUAAUAUAAUUUUAGUAA